AGAAGAGGUUUGGAAAUGACAGUGGAGUAACCCCACCCAGAUUCCAAAAAUAAUGCAGAACAAGACUUACUCUGCAAACAUAUGAAGGCUUAUCCAGGAAAGGGUAAUGCAAAGAAGAUGGUUCACUCCCACUUGAGUUCUUCACUUUUUGCAGCUGUGCGAAAUGGAGCACCAAAGUAAUGUAGUUUGAUCAAGCUCAGAAAGAAUUUGUAUAUCAUCGAGUAUUGCCGGCCAAAAAUCUUCAGAGCUAUAACUAGACCUUGAAAGCUACAGCACUGACCAUGUGACUUGGCCAAAUAUGGAUCUAACUCCUUGUGGAGCACCUCGAAAGCCAAGGACAAAUCAGCAGUGCAAGAACAGCUCCACCAAGAAUUUUGUAGAGCUAAGCCUUCUCCAAGCUCUAGCCAUAUAAGUGCAUCCAUGGAGGAGCAGUAGGAGAAACCAUGGGCUAAAAUGGAGACUUGGCAAAGUGUCUUCUAUUUUUCAGCUGUUGUACUGACACAGGAUUCCUGAUGGAGCCAUUGGCAGGAUGGUAGAAAAAUGACAAUCUUGUCAGCUGAAGACAUGGGGUAAUACUUUGUCCUUGUCCAUUCUUCUC